GCUCAACCUGAAAAGUAACAGUUUGGUCUUUCAAGCCCAAAGAAGACAUGCGUCAUAACAAGUCAAAGCCAAGUUUGUUCUUCCGAGCUCUGAGUCUCCAGCAUUCCGCCUGAGUAAUAGACAGGAAAGGUGUUGCCUGACUGACUGAGAACCUACAGCAUAUUUUUCGCUUAAUCUCCAAACAGAUUUAUUGCACUUCUCCCAAUCUCACAUGUGAUCUCUCUAAAUUGGAGAAACCAAAUGCUGAUUGCUUUGUAGAGUGUCUGCACUCAGUUCCCUGUGGCCAUACUGAGUUUGUUGCAUGUCAUUUUAAAUCUCAAUCCCACUGCUAUUCCAAUCUGUCUCUGCUGUUUGGGCAAUUUACAACCUUCUGGACAGAACACUGAAUUUUCCAACUUCAGAUGCUGCUUGACUGGCUUAGAUCUGUUUUUGUGAUCACCCAUGAUUUUAUUGAAAGACAGAGCAAACUCAAGGUGACAAUUGACCCAUUCCUGAUCCUGUUUCUUGUGUGCUUGUAUGCUAGCGCGUUGAAUUGAAAUAAGACAAAAUAAAGACCUAUGCGGGACAUAAAUAUCGUCUUGGAUGUGCAGCUCAUAUUUAUGCUGGAUGAAUUGCUGCAUUGUUAUUUGCCUUUAUGCAAAUAUUCAAUGACAUCAAGGAGACAGAAGCGUGUAGACAGAAGAGACUGGAAUCUGGAGAAAGAAAAAUAAACUCAUGAAGGGCACUCAACGGGGCAAACAUCCUACAAGAAGGCAAAGAGAUCGUCCAUAUUUUGGGACGAGACCCUGAAUCAAGACUGAGAUCCCUUUGCCUCCACAGAUACUGAAUUCCUCCAGCAUUUUGUUCAACGUCAUUAUUUUUGUCUCCAUCCAGACGUGAUGUAUUGUUGA